rnacentral:lncRNA from 1 species
AGGAAGCUUUGGGAGAUGUUGUUUACUGCAGUCUGCCUGAAGUUGGGACAAAACUGAAAAAACAAGAGGAGUUUGGUGCUUUGGAAAGCGUGAAGGCUGCCAGUGAACUCUACUCUCCUCUGUCAGGAGAAGUAACUGAAGUCAAUGAAGCACUUGCCGAAAACCCAGGGCUUGUCAACAAAUCAUGUUACGAAGACGGUAAGUUGUUGGUAAGAAUUUAACUCCAACAGAGGUAACUCACUCACUGUGCCUCCAGCAGUUUUCUCCCUAUUACAGUUGAAUGAACAACCUCAAAAGUAACCGGAGGCCACAUAGCCAAUAGGUGGCGAUGUUAGGAUUUGGUUGUGGCUCUCUUUGGCUUGCUGUCUUGCCCUUCAGACUUUCUAGGGUGCCCCCAUCCUAGCUCCUCCCUUCCUCUCUGGGGUUGGAUGGCUUGAGACAGGGUCUCUACAUGGCUCUUGCUGGUCUUAAACUCACAGAGAUCCUCCUGCUUCUGCCUCCUAGGUGCUGGGAUUAAAGGUGUAUACCACCAUGCCUGGCAUUCGGUCUCGGUCUUUCUACUGCCAUUAGUUCUAACAGCUAAUAUUUGGUGUGCCUUUAAGAAACAUAUGUGCAGGUGCUCUUAACUGCCUAGCCAUCAUCUCUCCCACCCCAAGGUUUUAUUUUAAAUAUUUUAAUUAAAGUUAUUUGAGCUGGGCAUGGUGGUGCACACCUUUAAUUCCACUCUACCUCUGAAGGAGGCAGAGGCAUUCGAAUGUCUUGAGUUCAAGGCCGGCCUGGUUGACAAAGUGAGUUCUAGGACAGCUGGGACUGUUAAACAGAAACCCUGUCUUAAAGAAUGGAAACAAGAGAAAGCUUACUUGUUUCU